UCCGGUUUGACACCGGCAGUCUCCCUAGAGUUCCCGGCUUUACCCGCUGGUAACUAGGGACGAGGGUUGCGCUCGUCGCGGGACUUAACCCAACAUCUCACGACACGAGCUGACGACAGUCAUGCAGCACCUGUGUGCAGGUCCCCGAAGGGAAGGAAUCCAUCUCUGGAAGCCGUCCUGCCAUGUCAAGGGCUGGUAAGGUUCUGCGCGUUGCUUCGAAUUGAACCACAUGCUCCACCGCUUGUGCGGGCCCCCGUCAAUUCCUUUGAGUUUUAACCUUGCGGCCGUACUCCCCAGGCGGUAUGCUUAAUGCGUUAGCUCCGCCGCCGAAAGCCUAAGACUCCCGACAGCUAGCAUACAUCGUUUACGGCGUGGACUAC
rnacentral:misc_RNA from 1 species